GCAAAAGUUAAACUACAUACAGAAAACUUACACAAUUCCGAUGUAACAUUGUUUUUCUGUACUAUUCCUUUUCCUUUUCUUUUCCCUAUUCUUUUUGUAUCUCUUUUAAAAUGAUGAGGAUG
rnacentral:ribozyme from 1 species